rnacentral:rRNA from 1 species
UACAGAGGUGGCGAAUGUUGUUCGGAUUUACUGGGCGUAAAGCGAUUGUAGGCGGUUAAGAAAGUUAGAUGUGAAAGCCCCGGGCUCAACCCGGGAAUUGCAUUUAAAACUCCUUAGCUUGAAUUAUGGAGAGGUUGACGGAAUUCCGAGUGUAGAGGUGAAAUUCGUAGAUAUUCGGAGGAACAUCAGUUGCGUAGGCGGUUGACUGGCCAUAUAUUGACGCUGAGAAUCGAAAGCGUGGGGAGCAAACAGG